CAUACAUUUUUCUUACAUCUAAGAAAUUCAGUUUUUUCUUCAAAGCGUUUGAAAUGGGUUUCCGUUUACCUGCAGCUAUUAGACGGUCAUCACCUAGCAGUAUUCAAACAUCCUCAAGAGCAUUGAAUGUGCCAAAGGGGUAUCUUGGAGUGUACGUCGGAGAGGAAAGGAAGCGGUUUGUUAUCCCCAUGUCAUAUUUGAACCAAUCUUCAUUUCAAAACUUGUUGAGUGAAUCAGAGGAAGAGUUCGGAUAUGAUCAUCCAAUGGGUGGCCUCACAAUUCCUUGCACACAAGAUGUUUUCUUGCAUAUUACUUCUCGCUUCAACGGGCAAUA